rnacentral:rRNA from 1 species
GACGAACGCUGGCGGCGUGCUUAACACAUGCAAGUCGAGCGGUAAGGCCCUUUCGGGGGUACACGAGCGGCGAACGGGUGAGUAACACGUGGGUGACCUGCCCUUAGCUCUGGGAUAAGCCUGGGAAACUGGGUCUAAUACCGGAUAUGACUCCAUGACGCAUGUUGUGGGGUGGAAAGCCUUGUGCGGCUAGGGAUGGGCCCGCGGCCUAUCAGCUUGUUGGUGGGGUGAUGGCCACCAAGGCGACGACGGGUAGCCGGCCUGAGAGGGCGACCGGCCACACUGGGACUGAGACACGGCCCAGACUCCUACGGGAGGCAGCAGUGGGGAAUCUUGCGCAAUGGGCGAAAGCCUGACGCAGCGACGCCGCGUGAGGGAUGA